CAGCAGCCGCGGGAAUACGUAGGGUGCAAGCGUUAAUCGGAAUUACUGGGCGUAAAGCGUGCGCAGGCGGUUCGUUAAGACAGAUGUGAAAUCCCCGGGCUUAACCUGGGAACUGCAUUUGUGACUGGCGGCUAGAGUAUGGCAGAGGGGGGUAGAAUUCCACGUGUAGCAGUGAAAUGCGUAGAGAUGUGGAGGAAUACCGAUGGCGAAGGCAGCCCCCUGGGCCAAUACUGACGCUCAUGCACGAAAGCGUGGGGAGCAAACAGGAUUAGAUACCCCGGUAGUCCCUGUCUCUUAUACA
rnacentral:rRNA from 1 species